CUAGCUUCUGCUGACUAUUUUAGCUGAUGAUAUCUCAUUCUUGUGGCAGACCAGUAACAGGAAAAUAAAUGACUCUCAUCCUUUUGCAGGAGAAGACAGUAGACUGGAGAUGCUCAUAAAAUACCCCUUCAGAGGCCCAUCUAUACGAAAGAGCAGGAAUUCUAACUCUUCUUACAAGACUAAGCUCUUCUUAUAGGCUUAUCAUUGACUAAACUGAGGCUUAUAAAGGGGGAAGAAC